GAUUUGGAAAUCUCCUUUAAAGAUCACAAGAUCAAAUUCAAUCUUGCAAAGCCAAACCUCUCUCUCCCUCACUACAAUUUUCGGCCAUCAUCUCUCUCCCUCACACACAUUUUCUCCCAACACACACUCAUCUUCUCCAUUUAUCAAUUCCACCAUUUUCCUCCAUUGAUGGAAACCUUCGAAGCUUCCUAAAAUAUUACCAAACACUUCAAAUCACUCUAAUAUCCUCCAUAAACCUAUUCUAUCCACUUAUAAUCAAGAAAAUCCUUGAAGAAGAAGCUCCAAAGUAGAGUGAGAAAGUGAGAAUUUUGGUGAGAACUUGGGCCCGAGCGAGACGAAGAAGUAAGUUGCCUGAUUUCUUUCCAGAAUAAGCGAAGGACUUCAGGCUAAGCGAGGAGCGAGAUUGGUCUGGUGCUAGUGGGGGAAACGUUUCAAUCGAUGUAAUUAUGUUUUCGUAUUGCCUUCAUGUUAAUAGAGUCUUGAGGAUUGAGAUACUUUGUUUUCUUUUGAAAUCAAGCAAUUUACUCACGGUUAUGUGUCUUCAUACAUGUAAUCGAUUCGCCUUUUGCUGCGAUACUCUGCAUUUUAUGAUUCCUUAUGAAAAAUGAGCUAUACCCGUUUUGUUUU